CUCCAUCUUCAUCCUUGGAGUAAGCCAAAUAGUGAACCACAAAAAUCAUUGUGUUCCUGUUUCUUCUCCAUAUGAUUGUUUGUUACUAUUUCAAAUUUCACACUAAUUAAUAAAUAAUUUUGUAACAUAUCUUAUAUUAGUUUUGUGCAGCAGCAUCUCUCUCUCUCUCUCUCUAAUCAGUAAUAUUUGCUAGUUAACUACCUUGUUUCUACAAUAUCUAGUUACAUCAUGUUCUACCUUAUGUUAGUUUAACGUACACCAA
rnacentral:lncRNA from 1 species